UACGUAGGUGGCAAGCGUUGUCCGGAUUUAUUGGGCGUAAAGGGCGCGCAGGUGGUGCGCUAAGUCUGCCGUGAAAUCUCCCGGCUCAACUGGGAGGGUGCGGUGGAGACUGACGUGCUUGAGGUACCUAGAGGUCGGUGGAAUUCCCGGUGUAGUGGUGAAAUGCGUAGAGAUCGGGAGGAACACCAGUGGCGAAGGCGGCCGGGCUGGGGGUGACCUGACGCUGAGGCGCGAAAGCGUGGGGAGCGAACCGG
rnacentral:rRNA from 1 species